rnacentral:lncRNA from 1 species
CAGAAAUUAAAGUAGAAUAAACAACAACAAAACCAAAAGACCUUUUUACUUUGACGCAGUUUUAGAUUCCCAGGACGUUGCACAGAAAAUCCGGACGGAUCCUGUGCCCUCCGCCCAGCUCCCGGGGUCACAGGCAGCCUCGGCUCCGACCCCGCCGGGCGCGCGGUGACCGGCUGUGCGGGUUCCAGGGGCGGAUGUGCGCUUUGCCCGGCCCCUCUCCCGCCGCGCGGCCGCUCCUCCUCUCCGCCAAGGGCCGGUUCAGGCACAGGCCCCGCCGAGGCUGCCCCUGACUUGAGGGCUCACGCACCGGGCUGCUUGCGGCUCUGGACUAUUGUGAAUAAGGCCGGUACCUCAGCACAGCUCUGCACCUCGGAGGACUCGGGGAAGUUUCUGGGCCUAUUUGGGCAAUAGGAGAAGGUCAUGGGCUGUCUUUCCAAAAUUCACGUCCACCCAGAACCCCCGAAUGAGACCUAUUUAAAGAGAAGGCCUUAGCUGAUGGAACAUUAAGAUGAGGCCACCCUGGAGCAGGGUGGGCCCUGAAUCCGAGGCUGCUGUCCC